GGGUGCAUGGUCUAGAGGUAUGAUUCCUGCUUUGGGUCGCUCGCGAAUGACGUAGAAUCCUUUGCAGGAGGUCCCCGGUUCAAUCCCGGGUGCACCCC